CUGGAAGCCUCAGCGCAGGCGCAGAGGCAAACUAACUGGGCGGGAAAAGGAAGAGGAAGAGGAAGACUCUAGGGCCUGAUUGGAGGAAAAGGAGGAAGUACAGUACCGUUUGGGAUAUGGGGGCGGGGCUGACUCCGUACUUCUCUUGGCUUUUUUUCUGCUUUACUUGAGCCCCGCCUAUCGGGGAAAGCCCUGGGCGGAGUCAGAUUUCUCCCUGAGGAUGUUUGACGUGGCGUAGGAGUAGAUAGAAAGGUGUCCACUAACCCCACCCCCCAAAAAAAAAAAAAAAAGGGGAAUCGAAUCAAGUUCUAGGCAACUUUUUAAACCAAAAGUUUCAGAGAAGAUUUCUACCUGCAUUGGUGGAAGGAGCGCCUCCUACGGGAGUUUCCUAUAUCAAUGAGAUCCUGGGUCCAGUCUCUGACCUCGAUUAAUGCAGGAGGUGGGGCCUCAGAGUCUAUCCAAGUGCAUCCUCCUCAUUUUACAGAUGGGGAAACAGAUUGAGCGAGGUUGUGAUUUAUCACGCAGGUGAAGGAGACAGAACGAUCCUGUGAAAUUUGAAAGGUUGGAGGAGCCACACUGGAUUUUGUGUGAGAAGACUUUAUGACAAAGACCGUUGUGGCUACCUUAGCCAAGCUACAAAAAAUACCAACACAACUCUGAGAAGUGAACUUUGGAAGUCUGUCCAAAUCAACCUGGCAGCUGAGAAAAGAAGAGAGGAGAGAACAUGGAGGUAACUAAUGUAGACGGCUUUCUUUAGAAGUUUAACCAAGAAAUGGAGGAACUUUUAAGGUAAAGCUAACAGGGUUGGUAGAAAGUUUUUGCUAUUGUUUUAAGGAUGGACAAGACAUGAAUGUAUCUCUCUAGACAGCAGAGGAGGGGGGCAC